rnacentral:rRNA from 1 species
GACGUCAAGUCAUCAUGGCCCUUACGCCUAGGGCUACACACGUACUACAAUGGUGGGUACAAAGGGCAGCAAAACCGCGAGGUCGAGCGAAUCUCAAAAACCCAUCAUAGUCCGGAUUGCAGUCUGCAACUCGACUGCAUGAAGUUGGAAUCGCUAGUAAUCCCGGAUCAGCAUGCCGGGGUGAAUGCGUUCCCGGGCCUU